rnacentral:rRNA from 1 species
AGGAAUCUGCCCUGUAGACCGGAAUAACCACGGGAAACUGUGGCUAAUGCCGGAUGAUCUCUUGGAUCCGCAUGGACCCAUGAGGAAAUGGUCAGCCGCUACAGGAUGACCUCGCGGCCUAUCAGCUUGUUGGUGGGGUAACGGCCUACCAAGGCGACGACGGGUAGCUGGCGUGAGAGCGCGACCAGCCACACUGGGACUGAGACACGGCCCAGACUCCUACGGGAGGCAGCAGUGGGGAAUCUUGCGCAAUGGGCGAAAGCCUGACGCAGCGACGCCGCGUGCGGGAAGAAGGCCUUCGGGUUGUAAACCGCUUUCAGGAGGGAAGAAGCGAAAGUGACGGUACCUCCAGAAGAAGGACCGGCCAACUACGUGCCAGCAGCCGCGGUAAUACGUAGGGUCCGAGCGUUGUCCGGAAUUAUUGGGCGUAAAGAGCUCGUAGGCGGUCCCUUAAGUCAGGUGUGAAAUCUCAGGGCUCAACCCUGAAAUUGCACCUGAUACUGGGGGACUUGAGGCAGGUAGGGGAGGGUGGAAUUCCUGGUGUAGCGGUGAAAUGCGCAGAUAUCAGGAGGAACACCGGUGGCGAAGGCGGCCCUCUGGGCCUGUACUGACGCUGAGGAGCGAAAGCGUGGGGAGCGAAAGAGAUCACAUACACCCGGU